GUCCGCAUUCAGCACCGGUGGACGUGUAAUAGAUCCAUACCGAAGCUCAUUAGCUCCAGAGACUGUCCAAGCACUAAUUUGCACGCAAAAUUGGUUGACUUGUGAACCACUUAGUUCUUGGGGGGUUGAGGAGCAUGUAGAACGCGUUGACAUCGAAGGUAACCCUCUUCCUUCAAGUUCAGCAACUUAAGCAACUCCAACUUCAACUUAAUAUGCAUCAUCCAGCUAAUGUCACGUGUAAACAUGGUAGCUGCCCUUAUCCCCCAAUGUGAGCUUGAUCAAACGAUAGGCGGCACCUCCAAAGAUGAACAAUCGAGAAUAAUGACUCAAGCACUUAGAAAAAUUCAUUACUCAUUAAGCCAAUCUCGAACUCUUAUUGUUUUUCUUAAUCAGAUUCGGUUAAGUCCGAAAUCAGUGCAAGGUUUUGGACGAGUAGAUGAGGUCACAUGUGGUGGAAAUGCAUUGAAAUUCUAUGCAUCUGUACGACUGAAGAUGAUAAGAAAAGCAUUGCUCAAGACGGAGGAUAAGUGGCAAUGGACAAAAAUAGGAAAAAAGAGUGGCUGCAAUAUUGCUUACACUCUUCUAUGUGGCUGCUCUUAGAGCUGUGAAAUCGUAUGAACUUCCUGUUGGAUUGUCUUUGUGCUUUGGUAGCAAGCUCCUCUGCCGCAAGUAUUCCAGCUGGUGGUUGAGAGGUUUAUGUUGACAACUUGGAGGAGGGAGAGGCGAUUGAUGUGGGAGAUCGUGAAGACACCUUCUCAUAGGAGUUGAGAUUUGCGAUGUAAUUCUGGGUUACAAUGCAAGCUAAAUUGUGGCAUAUUUGCAUGGUAGAAUUGAUAACUAAGCUAAAUUUUUGGGCCGAGUAGCAGAAAAACUUAGUAUUGAUAACUAAGGUCUGUAAUAUGUAUUUAAGGUCGUAUCAGAAUUUGUUAAAAAAAAAAAAA